GACCUGGAGGCGGAGUGGUCCGCGCCCAAAGAUAGUAUCACUCUUCCACACUUCAUUUGGGAGGCCUUUGUUCGACUCAAGGCCAGGUCA